AGCGCAGGCGGGAAGGUAAGUCUAUCUUAAAAGUGCGGGGCUCAACCCCGUGAGGGGAUAGAAACUAUUUUUCUUGAGUGCAGGAGAGGAAAGCGGAAUUCCUAGUGUAGCGGUGAAAUGCGUAGAUAUUAGGAGGAACACCAGUGGCGAAGGCGGCUUUCUGGACUGUAACUGACGCUGAGGCUCGAAAGCCAGGGGAGCGAACG
rnacentral:rRNA from 1 species